GCGCACCAGGCGAGAAACCUCCGCAAUACACGAAAGUGUGACGGGCCAUCCCGAGUGCCGUCCGCUGAGGACGGCUUUCCCCAGUGUACACAGCUGGGGGAAUAAGGAGAGGGCAAGCCUGGUGUCAGCCGCCGCGGUAAUACCAGCUCUCCGAGUGGUGGGACGCUUAUUGGGCCUAAAGCAUCCGUAGCCGGCUGGGCAAGUCCUCCGUUAAAUCCAACGAUUCAAUCGUUGGGCUGCGGGGGAUACUGUCCAGCUUGGGGCGGGAGAGGCCGACGGUAUUCCCGGGGUAGGGGUGAAAUCCUAUAAUCCCGGGAGGACCACCAGUGGCGAAGGCUGUCGGCUAGAACGCGCCCGACGGUGAGGGAUGAAAGCUGGGGGAGCGAACCGGAUUAGAUACCGGGUAGU
rnacentral:rRNA from 1 species